GGGUUGUGAGGUUAAGCGACUAAGCGUACACGGUGGAUGCCCUGGCAGUCAGAGGCGAUGAAGGACGUGCUAAUCUGCGAUAAGCGUCGGUAAGGUGAUAUGAACCGUUAUAACCGGCGAUUUCCGAAUGGGGAAACCCAGUGUGUUUCGACACACUAUCAUUAACUGAAUCCAUAGGUUAAUGAGGCGAACCGGGGGAACUGAAACAUCUAAGUACCCCGAGGAAAAGAAAUCAACCGAGAUUCCCCCAGUAGCGGCGAGCGAACGGGGAGCAGCCCAGAGCCUGAAUCAGUGUGUGUGUUAGUGGAAGCGUCUGGAAAGGCGCGCGAUACAGGGUGACAGCCCCGUACACAAAAAUGCACAUGCUGUGAGCUCGAUGAGUAGGGCGGGACACGUGGUAUCCUGUCUGAAUAUGGGGGGACCAUCCUCCAAGGCUAAAUACUCCUGACUGACCGAUAGUGAACCAGUACCGUGAGGGAAAGGCGAAAAGAACCCCGGCGAGGGGAGUGAAAAAGAACCUGAAACCGUGUACGUACAAGCAGUGGGAGCACAGAGCAAUCUGUGUGACUGCGUACCUUUUGUAUAAUGGGUCAGCGACUUAUAUUCUGUAGCAAGGUUAACCGAAUAGGGGAGCCGAAGGGAAACCGAGUCUUAACUGGGCGUUAAGUUGCAGGGUAUAGACCCGAAACCCGGUGAUCUAGCCAUGGGCAGGUUGAAGGUUGGGUAACACUAACUGGAGGACCGAACCGACUAAUGUUGAAAAAUUAGCGGAUGACUUGUGGCUGGGGGUGAAAGGCCAAUCAAACCGGGAGAUAGCUGGUUCUCCCCGAAAGCUAUUUAGGUAGCGCCUCGUGAAUUCAUCUCCGGGGGUAGAGCACUGUUUCGGCAAGGGGGUCAUCCCGACUUACCAACCCGAUGCAAACUGCGAAUACCGGAGAAUGUUAUCACGGGAGACACACGGCGGGUGCUAACGUCCGUCGUGAAGAGGGAAACAACCCAGACCGCCAGCUAAGGUCCCAAAGUCAUGGUUAAGUGGGAAACGAUGUGGGAAGGCCCAGACAGCCAGGAUGUUGGCUUAGAAGCAGCCAUCAUUUAAAGAAAGCGUAAUAGCUCACUGGUCGAGUCGGCCUGCGCGGAAGAUGUAACGGGGCUAAACCAUGCACCGAAGCUGCGGCAGCGACGCUUAUGCGUUGUUGGGUAGGGGAGCGUUCUGUAAGCCUGUGAAGGUGUGCUGUGAGGCAUGCUGGAGGUAUCAGAAGUGCGAAUGCUGACAUAAGUAACGAUAAAGCGGGUGAAAAGCCCGCUCGCCGGAAGACCAAGGGUUCCUGUCCAACGUUAAUCGGGGCAGGGUGAGUCGACCCCUAAGGCGAGGCCGAAAGGCGUAGUCGAUGGGAAACAGGUUAAUAUUCCUGUACUUGGUGUUACUGCGAAGGGGGGACGGAGAAGGCUAUGUUGGCCGGGCGACGGUUGUCCCGGUUUAAGCGUGUAGGCUGGUUUUCCAGGCAAAUCCGGAAAAUCAAGGCUGAGGCGUGAUGACGAGGCACUACGGUGCUGAAGCAACAAAUGCCCUGCUUCCAGGAAAAGCCUCUAAGCAUCAGGUAACAUCAAAUCGUACCCCAAACCGACACAGGUGGUCAGGUAGAGAAUACCAAGGCGCUUGAGAGAACUCGGGUGAAGGAACUAGGCAAAAUGGUGCCGUAACUUCGGGAGAAGGCACGCUGAUAUGUAGGUGAGGUCCCUCGCGGAUGGAGCUGAAAUCAGUCGAAGAUACCAGCUGGCUGCAACUGUUUAUUAAAAACACAGCACUGUGCAAACACGAAAGUGGACGUAUACGGUGUGACGCCUGCCCGGUGCCGGAAGGUUAAUUGAUGGGGUUAGCGGUAACGCGAAGCUCUUGAUCGAAGCCCCGGUAAACGGCGGCCGUAACUAUAACGGUCCUAAGGUAGCGAAAUUCCUUGUCGGGUAAGUUCCGACCUGCACGAAUGGCGUAAUGAUGGCCAGGCUGUCUCCACCCGAGACUCAGUGAAAUUGAACUCGCUGUGAAGAUGCAGUGUACCCGCGGCAAGACGGAAAGACCCCGUGAACCUUUACUAUAGCUUGACACUGAACAUUGAGCCUUGAUGUGUAGGAUAGGUGGGAGGCUUUGAAGUGUGGACGCCAGUCUGCAUGGAGCCGGCCUUGAAAUACCACCCUUUAAUGUUUGAUGUUCUAACGUUGGCCCCUGAUCGGGGUUGCGGACAGUGUCUGGUGGGUAGUUUGACUGGGGCGGUCUCCUCCUAAAGAGUAACGGAGGAGCACGAAGGUUGGCUAAUCCUGGUCGGACAUCAGGAGGUUAGUGCAAUGGCAUAAGCCAGCUUGACUGCGAGCGUGACGGCGCGAGCAGGUGCGAAAGCAGGUCAUAGUGAUCCGGUGGUUCUGAAUGGAAGGGCCAUCGCUCAACGGAUAAAAGGUACUCCGGGGAUAACAGGCUGAUACCGCCCAAGAGUUCAUAUCGACGGCGGUGUUUGGCACCUCGAUGUCGGCUCAUCACAUCCUGGGGCUGAAGUAGGUCCCAAGGGUAUGGCUGUUCGCCAUUUAAAGUGGUACGCGAGCUGGGUUUAGAACGUCGUGAGACAGUUCGGUCCCUAUCUGCCGUGGGCGCUGGAGAACUGAGGGGGGCUGCUCCUAGUACGAGAGGACCGGAGUGGACGCAUCACUGGUGUUCGGGUUGUCAUGCCAAUGGCACUGCCCGGUAGCUAAAUGCGGAAGAGAUAAGUGCUGAAAGCAUCUAAGCACGAAACUUGCCCCGAGAUGAGUUCUCCCUGACUCCUUGAGAGUCCUGAAGGAACGUUGAAGACGACGACGUUGAUAGGCCGGGUGUGUAAGCGCAGCGAUGCGUUGAGCUAACCGGUACUAAUGAACCGUGAGGCUUAACCUUACAACGCCGAAGCUGUU
rnacentral:rRNA from 4 species